AUGAAAGCCGGGAGCAACGAGAGCAGUAAGAAGCUCGUGAGCGGAUGGGCGCUCGCGGUGUGGCUCCUGCUCCCUCUCGUCGUCCUCGUCGUGCUCAAGACCGAUUGCCUGCCGCAGGUUACAGUUCGACAACUCUUUGCACAGUUCAGCUUCACCCAACCUGCAGGAGAUGGAUCGGUUAACAAGGUUCCGUCUUCAGGCACAGAGAAUGCAACGCAGCAAGAAGCAGUUGGCGUAGCCAGGUUAAAAGCCGCGCAUGAUCCGGUCGUCGGAGCGCCACCUCCCACCGCAUUAAGUAACGAGACGGCCGCCGGCGGCGCCGAUGCCAACGGAGAUCUCAAAAAUCAAACGGAGUUGCUUGCCAUGAACGGUGAGAGAGACGGUUUUGGGGUAAAUUCAGAUGUGGCAGCGCCAAGAAGCAGGUUGAGUUGCAACUUCAGCUUUUAUCGCAUGAACAUCUGCGCCAUGGAAGGCGAUGUCCGUACGCACGGCAAGGCCGGCACCGUCUACGUGGUCUCGGCGUCCGACGACAGCUACCGGCCGGAGAACGGGACGGUCACGAUCCGCCCGUACCCGCGCAAGUGGGAGAAGCCGACGAUGCAGCUGGCCCGAGAGGUGACCAUCCGCUCGAGCGGCCCGGGUGCCGCGGACACGGCCCCGCCACGGUGCACGGUGACGCACGACGUCCCCGCGGUGGUCUUCUCCACCGGCGGCUACAGCAGCAACUUCUUCCACGCCGUGACGGACAUCGUCAUCCCUCUCUACAACACGGCGCGGGAGUACGACGGCCGCGUCCAGCUCGUGGUCACCGACUACAGCCGCAAGUGGAUAGCCAAGUACCGGCACGUCCUCGCCACGCUCUCCGCAUACCCGGUCAUCGACUUCGACGCCGACGACGACGUGCGCUGCUUCCCGAAGGUGCACGUCGGCAUCGAGAGCCACAAGGAGCUAGGGAUCAACCCCGUCCUCUCCCACAGGGGCUACACGCUGAUGGACUUCCGGGACUUCCUGCGGUCGGCCUACUCGCUGAAGCGCGCGUGGUCGACGCCCGUCAACCGGACCUCCGGCGGCAGGCCUCGCCUCGUCAUGCUGCUGCGGCGCCACUCGAGGGCGCUCACGAACGAGGCGGAGGCCGUCGCGGCCGCCGCGGAGGUCGGCUUCGAGGUGGUGGCGGCGGGGCCGGAGGCCGUGCGCGACAUGGCCCACUUCGCGGAGGUGGUGAACUCGUGCGACGUGAUGGUGGGCGUGCACGGCGCCGGGCUCACCAACAUGGUCUUCCUCCCGCACAACGGCACGGCGAUGCAGAUCAUCCCGUGGGGCGAGAUGAAGUGGCCGUGCUGGAGCAUCUUCGGCGAGACGGUGCCCGACAUGGGGCUCCGGUACGUCGAGUACGAGGCCACCGCCGAGGAGACGACGCUCAAGGACGUGUACCCGAGGGACCACCCCGUCUUCACCAACCCCGUCUCCAUACACAAGCAGGGAUUCGACCAGCUGUGGAAGAUCUUCCUCGAUGGCCAGAACGUCACCCUUGACAUCAAUCGCUUCCGAGGGUUCAUGCAGCAAAUCUACCAGGACGUCACCGUUACAUAG
rnacentral:rRNA from 1 species